GUAUAUUUAUGUUAUUAACCCCUUAUUAGAUAUAUGGUUCAUAAGUAUUUUCUACCAACCCAUAGGUUGUCUUUUUAUUUGGUUAAUUUUUUUUUUUCUGGCAGAAGCUUUUUGGUUUGAGGUAAUACCACUUGAUUACUUUGCUUUCUAUUUUUCACUGGCUGAACUGGUGCUCAAGUUUGAACUUCUUUGUUUCUUCCUUGAAAAUUAGAUUUAAAAUUCCAGCUCCUACCAAUGAGCUUUAACUUACGGAAAUGAUCGAUUUUUAAUAGUAAAAAUUGUAUAGUCCUCACUUAAGCUAUAGACAGGGUAGAUGCCAUUAUUAUCUUCAUUUAAUGAUGACUAAACUGAGAUGUAUAGACUCAAAGGAAUUGACCCCAAAGCCACAUGACUAUGAUUAAGUAAUGUCUUUUGAACUCAAGUCCAGUGCUACUUUCUAAGAUCCACUUUGGAACAACAAAAUACUAAGAGAUCAACAUUUUAUGGAUGUGUUGAUUCUGAACAGACUCUAGCUUUAUGACAGACACAUUUUUUAAUGUGCUUCUCUAUUGUUGCUCAACAUGAAUUAGCCUACAGGUCACAGUUAGUUCAUAAUGACUUUAACAGCCAAGUUGGUGGCCUCAGAGGACCUGAGCCAAGGCGGGUGGAAGUUGAUCGUUUAACCAGCUCUCCAGCAAUUUUAAGCCAUUGGACUACAGGAAGGAUUAAUCUCCCAGAGAGGCAUUUUUCAUCUUUACCUGGUGCCGGCUCCUGCCCUGCCCUCAUCCUACCGUCCUGGGCUUCCUGCUUAAUGCUCUGCGGUGGUCUCCGUUAGGAUCAGGAUGUCUUGAACUUAUCAGCAAGGUUUGGCAACUGAUGAUAAAUCUCUGCAGCCUUCAGUGUCUUGAAAAUUACUCUCUUUCCUUUGUUGGGAAGAGGAUUAAACAGAGACAGUGGUUAUACAGAGCCCUUCAGCACCAUGCCCCUUGCCUUGCUGUGAGCUGGGAGUGUGGGCUAUUUCUCUGGGCACCCGGGGGCAAGAACAAGGCUUUAGAAAUACCACUGUGUAGCUGACAAACUGUGCUUGAAAAGAAGGGCUCUUCUCUGGCAAGCUACAGCUAUGACCUGUGUAUUGAUUUUCCAAGUAUGAUGCCUUAGGUUUAUUGUUUCCUACAGGUUGACUAACACAGCCAAAUACCAAGAGCCUGUGUGACAAGAAAUCCAGAUAAAAGAAGGCAUCAUCAGUGACAACCUUGUGCUGUUUUUAAAGCCUUUUCUCACAACCACAUGGGUGGGUCU
rnacentral:lncRNA from 1 species